rnacentral:rRNA from 1 species
GUCUUGACAUCCUCUAGCCAACCCUAGAGAUAGGGCGUUCCCCUUCGGGGGACAGAGUGACAGGUGGUGCAUGGUUGUCGUCAGCUCGUGUCGUGAGAUGUUGGGUUAAGUCCCGCAACGAGCGCAACCCUUGAUCUUAGUUGCCAGCAUUAAGUUGGGCACUCUAAGGUGACUGCCGGUGACAAACCGGAGGAAGGUGGGGAUGACGUCAAAUCAUCAUGCCCCUUAUGACCUGGGCUACACACGUGCUACAAUGGAUGGUACAAAGGGCAGCAAAACCGCGAGGUUAAGCGAAUCCCAUAAAACCAUUCUCAGUUCGGAUUGCAGGCUGCAACUCGCCUGCAUGAAGCCGGAAUCGCUAGUAAUCGCGGAUCAGCAU